CUGCAAAGUAAUAAGAUUUAUACGGUGGCCCCGAGGUGCAAAACACAACACGAAAAGAGAAAACACAACAGCAAAUCAGAAAACACAAAACAAAAACAGAAAACACAACAGCAAAUCAGAAGACAAAAUGACAUUGACCAUUGUGUUUUCUCUUUUGCCGUUGUGUUUUGCACCUCAGGGCCACUGUGGGUUUACGUUGUUUUGCA